rnacentral:rRNA from 1 species
AUUGAACGCUGGCGGCAGGCCUAACACAUGCAAGUCGAGCGAGCGGCGGACGGGUGAGUAAUGUAUGGGGAACUGCCUGAUAGAGGGGGAUAACUACUGGAAACGGUGGCUAAUACCGCAUACUAUAGGAUGGACCCAUAUGGGAUUAGCGAGUAGGUGGGGUAAAGGCUCACCUAGGCGACGAUCCCUAGCUGGUCUGAGAGGAUGAUCAGCCACACUGGAACUGAGACACGGCCCAGACUCCUACGGGAGGCAGCAGUGGGGAAUAUUGCACAAUGGGCGCAAGCCUGAUGCAGCCAUGCCGCGUGUAUGAAGAAGGCCUUAGGGUUGUAAAGUACUUUCAGCGGGGAGGCGUUACCCGCAGAAGAAGCACCGGCUAACUCCGUGCCAGCCGCCGCGGUAAUUC